UACAGAGGAGCCAAGCGUUGUCCGGAUUGACUGGGCGUAAAGCGCACGUAGGCGGAUUGCUAAGUCAGGGGUGAAAUCCUGGAGCUCAACUCCAGAACUGCCUUUGAUACUGAGGAUCUUGAGUUCGGGAGAGGUGAGUGGAACUGCGAGUGUAGAGGUGAAAUUCGUAGAUAUUCGCAAGAACACCAGUGGCGAAGGCGGCUCACUGGCCCGAUACUGACGCUGAGGCACGAAAGCGUGGGGAGCAAACAGG
rnacentral:rRNA from 1 species